AUUGAACGCUGGCGGCAGGCCUAACACAUGCAAGUCGAGCGGAUGAUGGGAGCUUGCUCCUGGAUUCAGCGGCGGACGGGUGAGUAAUGCCUAGGAAUCUGCCUGGUAGUGGGGGACAACGUUUCGAAAGGAACGCUAAUACCGCAUACGUCCUACGGGAGAAAGCAGGGGACCUUCGGGCCUUGCGCUAUCAGAUGAGCCUAGGUCGGAUUAGCUUGUUGGUGAGGUAAUGGCUCACCAAGGCGACGAUCCGUAACUGGUCUGAGAGGAUGAUCAGUCACACUGGAACUGAGACAGAGUCCAGACUCCUACGGGAGGCAGCAGUGGGGAAUAUUGGACAAUGGGCGAAAGCCUGAUCCAGCCAUGCCGCGUGUGUGAAGAAGGUCUUCGGAUUGUAAAGCACUUUAAGUUGGGAGGAAGGGUUGUAGAUUAAUACUCUGCAAUUUUGACGUUACCGACAGAAUAAGCACCGGCUAACUCUGUGCCAGCCGCCGCGGUAAGAC
rnacentral:rRNA from 1 species